GCGGUAAUACGUAGGGUGCAAGCGUUAAUCGGAAUUACUGGGCGUAAAGCGUGCGCAGGCGGUUCGGAAAGAAAGAUGUGAAAUCCCAGAGCUUAACUUUGGAACUGCAUUUUUAACUACCGGGCUAGAGUGUGUCAGAGGGAGGUGGAAUUCCGCGUGUAGCAGUGAAAUGCGUAGAUAUGCGGAGGAACACCGAUGGCGAAGGCAGCCUCCUGGGAUAACACUGACGCUCAUGCACGAAAGCGUGGGGAGCAAACAGGAUUA
rnacentral:rRNA from 1 species